rnacentral:rRNA from 1 species
CGUAGCCACGGGAAUACGAAGGGGGCUAGCGUUGUUCGGAUUUACUGGGCGUAAAGCGCACGUAGGCGGACAUUUAAGUCAGGGGUGAAAUCCCAGAGCUCAACUCUGGAACUGCCUUUGAUACUGGGUGUCUGGAGUAUGGAAGAGGUAAGUGGAAUUCCGAGUGUAGAGGUGAAAUUCGUAGAUAUUCGGAGGAACACCAGUGGCGAAGGCGGCUUACUGGUCCAUUACUGACGUUGAGGUGCGAAAGCGUGGGGAGCAAACAGGAUUAGAUACCCGCGUAGUCCCUGUCUCUUUACAC